AGCGAACGCUGGCGGCAGGCUUAACACAUGCAAGUCGAGCGGGCGUAGCAAUACGUCAGCGGCAGACGGGUGAGUAACGCGUGGGAACGUACCUUUUGGUUCGGAGCAACACAGGGAAACUUGUGCUAAUACCGGAUAAGCCCUUACGGGGAAAGAUUUAUCGCCGAAAGAUCGGGCCCGCGUCUGAUUAGCUAGUUGGUGUGGUAACGGCGCACCAAGGCGACGAUCAGUAGCUGGCUGAGAGGAUGAUCAGCCACAUUGGGACUGAGACACGGCCCAAACUCCUACGGGAGGCAGCAGUGGGGAAUAUUGGACAAUGGGCGCAAGCCUGAUCCAGCCAAUGCCGCGUGAGUGAUGAAGGCCUUCGGUU
rnacentral:rRNA from 1 species